rnacentral:sRNA from 1 species
UCAUGUGUAAGGUGUACAGUGAUCCGCAGCCGCACAUCCAGUGGCUAAAGCACAUCGAGGUGAACGGGAGCAAGAUUGGUCCAGACAACCUGCCUUAUGUCCAGAUCUUGAAGCAUUCGGGGAUUAAUAGCUCGGAUGCGGAGGUGCUGACCCUGUUCAAUGUGACAGAGGCCCAGAGCGGGGAGUAUGUGUGUAAGGUUUCCAAUUAUAUUGGUGAAGCUAACCAGUCUGCGUGGCUCACUGUCACCAGACCUGUGGCAAAAGGUAAUGGGGAGAUGGAUGGGACCCUGUGCUGGGGAUUUGAUGUAGGCCCCAAGCUGCUGGGGCAGGCGGGGAAGCCAGUACUGGACUGUCCUUGCCACCCUACUGUAUUUCUAGUGCCCAGAGCCAUGGAAAAAUACCCGGCCUGGGAGGCUGGUUUGGUUUGGUAUUGUGUUGGUGUCUGUGGGUUCCCUCUCUGCCUUCUGUGUGUUCCUUGGCUGUGUGUGGAUCCAUGCGAGGACUCAUGGGGACACGUCUUGCUGUGUUACAAAUGGUACUUCAG